rfam:Oryza nivara chromosome 1, whole genome shotgun sequence.
UGUAUCUAAAAUACUACUCCCUCCUUUUAACUUUGACCAUCCGUCUUAUUUAAAUUUUUUUUAUUGUUAUAACAUGAUAAAACAUGAAUAACACUUUAUGCGUGACUUAUGUUCUCAAAUUUUUUUAAAAUUUUUUUAAAUAAGACGGACGGUCAAAGUUGGGCACGGAAAAUCAUGGCAGCACUUAUA